GGAAGACUAGCUAUGAAGCUAGCUAGCUACUAGCCUAGCUUGACGAUACUGCGUGAGACAGUACAACGCCAGCAAGUGUGACUAGGGGCAGGCUUGCACCAGAGAUCAGACCAGACAUCUCAUACGUUUCUUCCACACCAGUUUUAAACAAGGAGGUCAGCAGAACAAUGUAGUGUGCACUGAAGGGGAUAUCACUGCUCUACCCCAAGAAAUUGGGACAUGUGGGACCCAAGACAUCCCUAAAGGGUUCAGUUCUCCCAGCUACCAUCCAGGCAGAGAUGCAAGAGUCUCAAAUCCUGCAAGACACCAGAUCCUCAACUUACUUUUAUCAAUGAACCAGUUUUUAUACUAUGUUCUUAGCACAGCACAUAUCUAAAAUUUGACUGAAUAGCCAA